GGGCCCGCACAAGCGGUGGAGUAUGUGGUUUAAUUCGAUGCAACGCGAAGAACCUUACCAGGGUUUGACAUCCUGCGAAUCUCUUGGAAACGAGAGAGUGCCUUCGGGAACGCAGUGACAGGUGGUGCAUGGCUGUCGUCAGCUCGUGUCGUGAGAUGUUGGGUUAAGUCCCGCAACGAGCGCAACCCACGUCUUUAGUUGCCAGCAUUUAGUUGGGCACUCUAGCGAGACCGCCGGUGAUAAACCGGAGGAAGGUGUGGAUGACGUCAAGUCAUCAUGCCCCUUACAUCCUGGGCUUCACACGUCAUACAAUGGCACGUACAGAGGGUUGCCAACCCGCGAGGGGGAGCC
rnacentral:rRNA from 1 species